UACGUAGGGUGCGAGCGUUAAUCGGAAUUACUGGGCGUAAAGCGUGCGCAGGCGGUUCGCUAAGACCGAUGUGAAAUCCCCGGGCUUAACCUGGGAACUGCAUUGGUGACUGGCGGGCUAGAGUAUGGCAGAGGGGGGGUAGAAUUCCACGUGUAGCAGUGAAAUGCGUAGAGAUGUGGAGGAAUACCGAUGGCGAAGGCAGCCCCCUGGGCCAAUACUGACGCUCAUGCACGAAAGCGUGGGGAGCAAACAGG
rnacentral:rRNA from 1 species